rnacentral:rRNA from 1 species
GAUGAACGCUGGCGGCGUGCCUAAUACAUGCAAGUCGAGCGAACAGACGAGGAGCUUGCUUCUCUGACGUUAGCGGCGGACGGGUGAGUAACACGUGGAUAACCUACCUAUAAGACUGGGAUAACUUCGGGAAACCGGAGCUAAUACCGGAUAAUAUAUUGAACCGCAUGGUUCAAUAGUGAAAGACGGUUUUGCUGUCACUUAUAGAUGGAUCCGCGCCGCAUUAGCUAGUUGGUAAGGUAACGGCUUACCAAGGCAACGAUGCGUAGCCGACAUGAGAGGGUGACCGGCCACAUUGGGAAUGAGAUACGGCCAAGACUCCUACGGGAGGAAGCAGUGGGGAAUAUUGCAAAAUGGGCGGAAGCCUGAUGCAGCAACGCCGCGUGCGGGAUGACGGCCUUCGGGUUGUAAACAGCUUACGCCUGUGACGAAGCGUGAGGGAAGGUAAUGGGUAAAGAAGCACAGGAUAACUAAGGG